GCAUAUCCAGUGAUGGGAAAAGUAAGCUAAGAGAUGACUCCAGCGAGUCGGCACAGAGUGGAAGGCCGACAGUCUCACCUUAACCGAACAAGGGACCCUGAGGAUGCCUUUUGAAAUCAAAGUAUGAAGGCACGGCUGUCGCCGUUAACGAUAUCGAGUGAAUUGUAUUAGUGCACAAAUACAAUUAAUUAGAGUGGUACCGCGGAUAUAAAUCCGUCUCUUUG
rnacentral:ncRNA from 1 species